rnacentral:rRNA from 1 species
UACGGAGGGGGCUAGCGUUGUUCGGAAUUACUGGGCGUAAAGCGCACGUAGGCGGCUUUGUAAGUUAGAGGUGAAAGCCCAGGGCUUAACCCUGGAAUUGCCUUUAAGACUGCAUCGCUAGAAUCGUGGAGAGGUGAGUGGAAUUCCGAGUGUAGAGGUGAAAUUCGUAGAUAUUCGGAAGAACACCAGUGGCGAAGGACGACUCAC